rnacentral:lncRNA from 1 species
CUGCUUGCCUGUACUCCAUCCUGCCACCCUGUGAAGAAGGUUCCUGCUUCUCCUUUACCUUCUGCCAUGACUGUAAGUUUCCUGAGGCUUCCCCAGCAAUGAGUAACUGUACUAUAGUAGGGACUGGAAAUUCAACGUGAAAAAAAGUUAAAUCUCUGCUGCCUUAAAAUAAUCAGAAUGUAAGGAGAAAAUGUUUUCAGCUGGAACUUAAAUAGACCGGCCACAAAUAACCCGUAAUUCUCUAUAAAUGGACUGUCAUGCUGAGAACAGCUUUAUGCCACGCUGAUCCUAGCUCCACAAGAGCCGGCUAAGCUACACUUACCCAGUAGCAGGUCACACUCCAGAGCCCACUGGAUUCUUGCUGACACAAUAAGUACGCUUCCAGCUGGGGCCAAGAACAAUCUGGACUCAGGCAGAGUGUGAAUUACAGUGAAGAGCUACCACCCUCCUAACCACAGCCAAUCAACAGAAAAUAAACACAGGUAGGAGAAGGAAUGAACUCCUUUCCACAACAUGAGUACAUCACUUUUUCUCUGUUACAGUUUUGUGGAGGAAAUCAUCCCCUUGGGAUCUUCAGCGUUGUCUCAUUUACCUCCGCUCUCUCUAGAACUGGGUGGUGCAAAAAUGCCUAAGCCUUCUUGGGAAAGGAAACUGAGUGCCACAUGCAUAGGAGGCGUGGCUAUGGGUCAGCUGGUGUACCUCUAAUGCAAGUACCUCACAUGCUUAAAAUGGUUCUUCCUCCUAUCCCUCCUUUCCGUAAACUGCACCCUCUGUUUCACCCAAAACCAAAAUGGUAAAAUCACUGAGAAAACACAAGAGUUAUUGAAAUCAAAGUGUUAACAAUUCCUUUUAAGUGUAUCUUGCGUUUUAAAUGGAUGUGGUAUCUUAAUAUCAUAUUGUGAUUAUAUUUUUAAUUUUUCAAAGCCACAACCUGACUUAAAAGAGGUCAAUAUUCUUUUCCUCCUUUAAUAAAAUUGUACUGACAAGUUUUAAUAA